rnacentral:lncRNA from 1 species
UAACCGCGUCUCUUCGGUACAAUCCGGCGCGGUAGCUCCAUUCGUUGGACUUAAGUCCAUGGCUGGCUUCCCAGUUACAAAGGUCAACAAAGACAUUACCUCCAUUACAAGCAAUGGCGGAAGAGUAAACUGCAUGCAGGUGAGAAAAAACAUGCCUACUAUUUUAGUUUAUUUGAGUAUAUUAUUAGCAUAAUGGAAACAAUUUAUGACAUGCCCGUAAACUGUUUUCUUCUUAUAUUUUCAUAAGCUCUUCAGGAUAGUUUAUGAAAACAGCUUAUAGAUUAUGUGAAAAAAGUUUGACUUUCUUUUGUCAAUUGUUAUAGAAAUAACUUAUUCAUAAGCACUUAUAGAUUUGUUGGCAAAAGUACACAAGUUUGUUGACCCUUUUUUUUCAAUUUUAGGUGUGGCCUCCUAUUGGCAAGAAGAAGUUUGAGACUCUUUCAUAUCUUCCACCAUUGACCAGAGAACAAUUGGCGAAAGAAGUUGAAUACCUUAUAAGGAAGGGAUGGGUUGCUUGCUUGGAAUUCGAGACCGAGGUCUAGUUUUAAUUUAUUUUCAAUGCCUUUUCAACGAACAUAUAUAUAGUUUUGAACUUAGAUGGUUAAUCGGUUUGUCAUGGUUAAUCUACUUGCAGAAAGGAUUUGUGUACCGUGAGAACCACAGUUCACCAGGAUAUUAUGACGGACGUUACUGGACAAUGUGGAAGUUGCCUUUGUUUGGAGCAACUGAUGCUUCUCAAGUGUUGAAGGAGCUUGAUGAAGUUGUUGUUGCUUACCCUAAUGCCUUUGUCCGUAUCAUCGGAUUCGACAACGUUCGUCAAGUUCAAUGCAUCAGUUUCAUUGCACACACACCUGCGGUCUACUAAAUUUGAGUGUUAAAUCACUCUCAGCUGCCAUUGGAAGAACAUCUUUUUCUCUCAAUUUGUUCUGAUUGUAAUGUCUUCCUUUGUUUUUUGGUUUUCGCUUUCGGAUUUCAAAAUGCAAAUGUAUGGAUAAGAGUUAAUAAAUGAAAUGGUACCUUUUUCAUUCUCAAGUUAGUAGUAUAUGUUGUUUUCCUUGUAAUGGCUUGAACUUGAAACUUUAAAUAACAAAGGAACUAAUAGUAUGAUAUUAAAGAAAAAAAAAUUGCAUUUCCACCUAAUUCAUUCUCAUCUUUACCAAAAUUAUGCACAAUCAGUACAUCUUUGCAAGAAAUAUUUUUGACAGAAAUUAUGAACUGAAUAUCGCUGGCGCUCCAAAAAGCAAUCCGCGGUCUCAAACUCAUCUUCAUACGCUAAAUUUUAGGCCUUAGCUUUUACUGGUUGGGAAUUGCAAUUCCUUGCAUACCUUCAGCAUGAUUUCCAUUUAUUUUUUAUUUUCUAAUCUUCCUCAUGCAGUAACAGCCAAUUCACUCACUAUAUGGCAGCCAAUUCCAUCUUUUACGAAUGGAAAAAAUACAUUGAAAUUGACCGUCACAUUGUUAUGGAAAAAGUUUCAACCGCAGUUUUUGCAAUGUCGACUGCCUAUUUCCGCAGUCGAUCAAGUGGCAGACCUGCUCACAAAACAUCUUGAACCUACCCACUUUAAUUGUCUACUUGCCUACCUGAAAGUUCUAAAUAUACAAUACUCAUAUAUUAGUAACUAAAUGAAGGGACUAAAUUGUUAGUGCAAGAUGUGUUUCUUGCACUCCUAGGAACUAAAUGAAGGGACUAAAUUUGAAAGAAACACUAUGAGUGAAUUAUAUUGAUUAUGAAAACUGAAUGAAUGAAUACAUGGGAUACAAUUACAAGUAUUUAAAGACUUUUCUAAUUACUUGAAUCACAAGUAAACUAACAAAUACAAACCAACUUGUUAGUUACUAACCACCAACUUCUCUAACAAACUAGUUGUAACUAACUACUACUUUGUAGUUGAAUUAAUCCACAACAAUAAUACCUUAGCUAAAACUUUAGCUUAAACAAUGCAAGGCAUUCUAUAUUGGUGAUUUUAUUCAUGAGUAAAGUGGACAUAUUUCAAAAAGUAAAAGGAAAUGAUACUAAGAGCCAAAACCAGCUAUAACUUAUAGAAGUGUACAUGUUUUAAUUUUUCAAUAAAUCCUAGAAAAAGUGAGAGAUUCUUGAAGAUUAUAAAUAAUGCUGAAGAUAAAUAGAUCAGAAAUUAAUAUAACCUAAUAAACAAGACUUAAAACUUCAAGGUAACGUCUAUCCGGUAAUGGUCUUGAGCAAGUUCAGAUGGUGCGACGACAUGCACCUAUUUUUUAAGGGCACCAAUAAUCUCUUAUUAAUUUUUUAGUCCUAUGAUAAAAGACGUUGUAUGUAAAGGUUGGGGACAGUAAUCGAUUAAAUUAAGUUGUCCUGCUUUAAUUUCUAAUUUUUUUUUAAGAAUGUUUCGAGAGAUGCUAGUAUCGAACCGAGUACCACAAAGUUGAGAGGUGAUUUUCCAAUCAAGUGAUCUCUCUUUUUACUGGCAUUUUUUCUAAGAAUGUUGAUUGUGAAGUGAUGGAUGAUCAAUAAUUUUGCAGAUAUAAAUGCAAAGAUGAUAAAUUUAAAUGAUUUCGAAGAAAAAAAUUUCUCGGAUCAUAUAGAGCAUCCAAAAUCUCAAGGACAACCCUACUUCCACUAUUAAGUUCUUCUUACUUAUCAUAGUCCACCUUUCAUAACUUUGGAAAAAAAAAUAAAGGAAAAGAAUGAAGUUGUAAUUUUAUUGCAUUUUUUAUGGACCUAUACAACCAUUUUUAAGGGAGAAUAAGUGCCAUUCUUUUGGUUGUUCCAAAUGUAAGUAUCUUCCACGGUAUAAUUGAAAUUGGCGUGGAUGUGAUUUAUGUGGUCAGAGGUCGUAUGAGAUGACUGGGUAUAGAGAAUAUGCGUGUGAGGAUCAUUAGCCGAGAGAACAUAUUUAACCGUAAGCUGAAUGUCAUGAAUAUCUAUAUAAGGAACAAGAGACCCAAGAAUUCCAAGAGUUGUCCAUUGACUAAACCAAAAGGAUGAAGACCCAGACUCAGCACGCCAGACAUAUCAUGCUUUAAGAACAUUUUUAGCUUUGAUGAUGGAGGACGAAGUGGGAGAGCCGUUGGGGCUAUCAGUUGCUUGAGAGGAGGUUUGCCAGAAGAUUGAAUCACGUCCAACACUAGCUUUCCUAAAAGGCAAGUAUUCGCCUCCCUAGCUGAUCUGAUUCCAAGGCCACCAAGAGAUUUAGGACGAGAAAUCUUUUUCCAACCUACUAAAUGAAUGCUUUUAUCAUUUGUACUUCUCUAAAUGAAAUUUCUAGUUGUUUGAUCAAUGUUUUCACAAAUGGAUUGAGGAAACCAACUAAUCUGCAUGUAAUAAGAUGGAAUGGAGGAAAUAAUAGAAGAAAGAAGAGUUAAUCUAUCAGGUUUAUUCAACAAUCUAUUAUUCCAGGAUACCAAUCUUGUUUGCAUUUUCUCAAUAAUAAAAUAGAAAUUAUUCCUUUUCACCCUUCCUUUCAGAAUAGAGAAGCCUAAAUACUUAUCAGGAGAAAUAGUGCUUCUAAUUCCUGAAAUAGAUGUCAGCUUGUUAAUCUUAACUUGAGGAAUGUUUGAGAAAUAGAAAGCUCUAGACUUGGACAAAUUAAUUUUCAAUCCUGAAGCAUGACUAAAGCGGUCAAAUAAAUUAGAAAAGACUCUUAGCUGAGAAUUUCUUGCCUUAGAAAAAAGGAGGUCGCCGUCCGCAAAAAGAAGAUGGGACAACUUCGGCCCUAAGUUGGUGAUGUGGAUGGGUUCCCAGUUUCCUCGGAGGACAACGUUGUUGAUGGAAAUUGAGUGUUUUUCCAUACAAAGAAUGAAAAGAUAUGGUGAGAGUGGAUCACCUUGUAUGAGGCCAUGAGUAGGCUUGAAGGGAGACAUCUUUUUCCCAUUCGAGAGGAUAGAGAAAGUGGAGGAGGCAACGCAAUGCAUGAUAAGAUUGGUUGUGAUAGUAGAGAAACUGAAAUCUUGAAGAGUACUCUUGAGGAAGUCCCAGUUGAAAAUAUCAAAAGAUUUCUCAAGAUCAAGUUUGAAAGCAGCAGAACCUUUUUAUUUUAGACCUUCUCAUAAAAUAAAAGAUUUCCUGCAAAACAAUGGCAUUGUCAGAAGUGCUUCUGCCUGGAAGAAAGUUGCUUUGGUAGAGACCAAUAAUAAUAUCAAGAAUCGGUCUUAAAAGAUGGAGUAAGACUUUAGUGAUAAUCUUGUAGACAAUAGUGCAGAGGCUGAUCAGUUUAAAAUGUUUAUAAGUGGUGGAAGGCCGAUUUGACAAGACUAAAAAUAUCGUCCCCAACUAUAUGCCAAUAUUGUUUGAAGAAAAUGCAUUGGAAAUCAUAUGGACCCGGCGCCUUAUAAGGCUUCAUGGAAUUCAGGGAUAUAACAACCUCCUCUUUAGUGAUUAAAAAUGAUAGAGUUCUCUCGGAGGUUAUUAUCAUUAUAUAUUAAAUUCAUAUAAUGGAGGUUGUACAUAACUGAUAAAUUUGAGAGAAUAAGAAUAUGAAAAGUGGCAAAUUUUUAAGAAAGGAUGAGGAGAUUUUUUAGAGAUGCCACACAGGAACAAUAGAAGUCUAAGGUUAAUCGAAGUUUAGAAUUCAAGAUAGUAUAGAAGAUAGAUAGAUAGAUGAUAGGUAACGAUUAUUUAUGGAAUUUUUUGAAAAAUACUCUCUAGAAAAACGAAAUACUUUUUAAUUUUGACCGAAAAAAAAUAAUACUUUUUAUUUACAUUUAUUUUAUACGAUUGAGUCAAACAAAAAUUUAUUCCAUGUUUUCUCGAUAGAUGUAUAUAUAGCACAAUUGAGGUCAUAUUCAUCUCAAACAAUAAUAGUUUUAAGCAAAAGAGUAGUGCUAUAUGUCCCGAUAAGAGAUAAAGUUCUAAGCAUGCAUUUUGGCGAAAUACAAGGGUGGGUGGCCAAUGAAAUAUCGUUGUGAGACAAUCACGAUGUAUGGUCUCGUGAUACUAAGCAAUUUCCAAUUCAAAAAUGGAGGUCUCACUCUACGAUAGAGUUUCAAUCAACCCUUUUCUCGAUUAAUGCAUUUCGAUUUUAGUUCAAAAUUAUUUGUUGUAGUCUUGAAUUGAUUUUUAAUUUUUUUUCUUCAGGUUUUACAUCAAAAAAUCUCACGGCGUUCGCUUCCUCCUCACUAGCUGAAAAGAAGAAGGUUAUGUUCAUAACGGGUACAAUUAACACUUGAAAAACUAUACUUUUCAUCUACUUAGGUACUCAUUUCCACUAUGAAACCAUCAAUUCAAAUAAAAUUCAAAUUUAUUAAGAUCUUGACUUGACACCAACUUGGUACCAUAAUUUGAACGUUGUUCGAUUUCACAUCACAUAUUAUGCAUCAUCAAUGAUACAUAUAUGAUUUCCCUAUGAUUAAUUUUUGCAAACACAUGCCUGAAACUCUAUAUUCAUAGCUGAAAAAUGGACAUCUAACCAUUAUUGUAGGAGGGUCACGUUCUUACAUUGAAAUAUUAGUUGAUGACCCAAUCAUUGAAUUUUGUUCAAAAUGUUAUUGUUGUUUCAAAAAUCAAUCACAAUGAAAUCAUAAUCCUAAUUAUUGCUGACGCCUAAUAUGUGAUGUCGAAUCGAACAAUGUUCAUACUCUAAUACCUUGUUGGCGAAAGGUCAAGACCCGUAUAGACUUGAAUUUUAUCUGAGUUGAUGAUUUCAAAGAGGAAUCAAGUACUUAGGUAGAUGAAAAAAAUUAUUUUUUCCAAUUCCAAUUGCUUUCGUUAUGAACAAAACCUUGUUCUUUUCGGCUAGUAUAUUGAGGAAAAAAAAGACAAGAUUUAUUUUAUUUUAUUUUUUAUGUAUAACCUAAGGAAAAGACAAUAAUACAAAUAAGGCUUAGACACACUUUUGACCCCCUAACUUUAAACUAGUUGCAAUCUUGACCCCCUAUUAAAAAAAAAACACAUUUCAGUCCCCUAAGUUUCCCCCUUUUUGCAACUUUCAAUUUUGAUCAUUCAAACUCAACCAUUUAGGACAAUAAAAAUAAGCGGGGUAUUUUGUUUAGCAAGUUUCAGGCGAUCUUGACCUUCUACCAUCUUGAAUGGUUGAUUUUUAAUGAUCAAAAUUAAAAGUUGUAAAAAGGGAAAACUUAAGGGACUCAAAUGUGUUUUUUUUUAAUAAGGGGACAUAAUUGCAACUAAUGUAAAGUUAGGGAGGCAAAAGUGCGUUUAAGUCUAAAAAUAAUUUAAAUAUACAACAAAUGAUUUUGAACUAGAAUUGAAAUGGAUUAAUCUUAUGCAUGUUGUCAAUAAGGAUACUAUGUAUAUGAAGAAGAGAAUCAAUUGAAACUUUAUUUGUGCUAUGUAUAAUGAUGUAUGAUAUAUGGAGAGAGGGACCACUAUAGGCGAGUUUGGAAUCAAUUUUGCAGAAGGUUCAUGGAGGGCGGGUUUAUCGUUGUAGGCGUGGUAGAGGUCUUAGGACUAUCCCGUAGUUUUAUGGUCUUGUAAUAGUAUUUUGAACAAAUUUGAUGUUUUUAAUUUGAUGUUUAAAUAUUUGUUUUGUAUCCUACAAAUAUUUUGUUUUUAAUAUUAUUUUUGAAAAUUGUGUUGUUUCUUAUCUUUUCAUUAUAAUAUUUUAUUUAUUCACAAAUGCAUGUUUAUAUCAAAUGAUUAUGUAAUCUGUAUGUAUUAGAGUGAAAACAAACUCUAUUUCUAUUCUAAUACCUUUCGGAUUAUAUAAUUCGAACAUUUUUAUGACAUUCAGAUUAUAUAAUCUUAAAUAUGCGUUUUUUUACACCACAAUUUCCCCUUCUGGGGUGUUUGCUGCAUUUUUCUAAGAAUGUUGAUUGUGAAGUGAUGGAUGAUCAAUAAUUUUGCAGAUAUAAAUGCAAAGAUGAUAAAUUUAAAUGAUUACGAAGAAAAGAAAAAAAAAAUCUCAGAUCAUAUAGAGCAUCCAAAAUCUCAAGGGAAACCCUACCUCCACUAUUAAGUUCUUCUUACUUUUCAUAUUCCACCUUUGAUAACCUAGGAAAUAAAAUAAAGGAAAAGAAUGAAGUUGUAAUUUUAUUGCAUUUUUUCUGGACCUAUACAACCACUAUAUGCUCACGUUCCUACUUAGAAAUUAAAAUUAAAUUGUUCUAAUUCAAUGUUAUAAUCAGAAAACUAGCUUUGAAGGAAGGAAAUGUCUUACUCGAUAUGACUUUGUCCACCGAAACUGACAUCAAGGGGGGAUCGAACGUGAAACUUUGAGAGAAACAAAUUCCAAGAUCACAAAUUAACCACAAGGUCAACCCCAAAUGAGUUUUUUUGGUUACCAUUAGAAAACCGUGUAUAUUUUAACAUAAUUUGGAUGAUUAAUUAUGUGUAGUAUAUGUGUAUUUAAACACUUAAAAAUGAUGGCUAAUUGUAUUCAUUUAAUGAUUAAUAGAUUGCUACCAAAUAUAAUUAACCACAUCUUUGCAGUUUGUUACACCCAAAAAACUAACCACAUAUUUGAACCAUGUUAACCAUCUAAUUGAUGUCAAAUUUGUUUGUCAAAGUAAUACAACUCAUCAUCGAUUUGUGAGUCUUGACAUUUUCUACAAAUAAAUGUAUACACAAACCGAUUGCUAUAAAUAUGAUACACUUAUUCUUUAUCCCUAUGAGGAGCCAAAGCCUGAAAAAAAAACUAGUACCAUACACGAUUGAUAUUUUUAGUUUUUUGGUCAAGUGGUUUAUAUUUAUGGAAGCAUUAAUAGUCACACAACUACACGUGGCAAUUUCAUAUUGGUGGCUAAAGAUAAGGCACCACAAAAAUUUCCAAUCUUGUUGUGUGGUUAAUGGCUGCAAUGUUUAUCAUUUUCACAAUCAAACAAAAUUGUAUUAUGCAGCAACCAGUUACCACAAUUUUUAGAACCAUAAUAUUGGAAAUACAAAAAUAAAGACAUUAUAUAUAGCAAGUUUGAGUAUAGGCUUUGAAAUUCAAGCAGAAGUAUAUCUUACAUUACUAGUGAACUAAGUAAGGGAGAAAAAAAAUGGCUUCCUCUAUGAUUUCCUCUUCAGCUAUGACUACAGUUAACCGCGCCUCUUCGGUACAAUCCGGCGCGGUGGCUCCAUUCGUUGGACUCAAGUCCAUGGCUGGCUUCCCAGUUACAAAGGUCAACAAGGACAUUACCUCUAUUACAAGCAAUGGUGGAAGAGUAAACUGCAUGCAGGUGAGAAAAAUAAUAGGCCUACUAUUUUAGUUUAUUAUUAGCAUAAUGGAAACAAUUUAUGACAUGUCUGUAAACUGUUUUCAUCUUAUAUUUUCAUAAGCUCUUCAGGAUAGUAGGAUAGUUUAUGAAAACAGCUUAUAGAUUAUAUGAAAAUAGCUUAUAGAUUCAUUGAGAAAUGCACACAAGUUUGUUAACCCUUUUGUUCAAUUUUAGGUGUGGCCUCCUAUUGGCAAGAAGAAGUUUGAGACACUUUCAUACCUUCCACCAUUGACCAGAGAACAAUUGGCCAAAGAAGUUGAAUACCUUAUAAGGAAGGGAUGGGUUGCUUGCUUGGAAUUCGAGACCGAGGUCUAGUUUUAAUUUAUUUUCAAUGCCUUUUCAAUGAACAUAUAUAUAGUUUUGAAUUUAGAUGGUUAAUUGGUUUGUCAUGGUUAAUCUACUUGCAGAAAGGAUUUGUGUACCGUGAGAACCACAGUUCACCAGGAUACUAUGACGGACGUUACUGGACAAUGUGGAAGUUGCCUUUGUUUGGAGCAACUGAUGCUUCUCAAGUGUUGAAGGAGCUUGAUGAAGUUGUUGUUGCUUACCCUAAUGCCUUUGUCCGUAUCAUCGGAUUCGACAACGUUCGUCAAGUUCAAUGCAUCAGUUUCAUUGCACACACACCUGAAGUUUACUAAGUUUGAGUAUUUAAUCACUCUCUGCUGCCACUGGAAGAACAUUUUUCGUUGUUUUUCGAUUUACGCUUUCGGAUUUCAAAUGCAAAUGUAUGGAUAAGAGUUAAUAAAUGAAAUGGUACUUUUAUUCAUUCUGAAAUUAGUAGGAUAUGUUGCUUACCUUGUAAUGUCUUGAACUUGAAAUUUUAACUAACAAAGGAACCAACAGUAUGAUAUUAAAGAAAGAUAAAUUACAUUUCCAGAUAAUUCUUUCUCAUUUUCACCAAAAUUAUGCACAAUCAGUACAUCUUUACAAGAAACUUUUUUGAGCAGAAAUUAUGAACUGCAUAUCGUUGACGCUCCAAAAAGCAAUCCACGGUCUCAAAGUUAUUUUCAUACGCUAAAUACUAGGUCUUCGCUUUUACCUUCUGAAUGACAGCCAAUUUACUCACUAUAUUGCAGCCAAUUCGAACUUUUAUGAAUGGACAAAAUACAUCGAAAUUGACCGUCAUAAUUUUAGGGAAAAAGUUUCAACCAAAGUUGUUGCGUGAUCUUACUGCCUAUUUCCGCAGUCGAUCAAGUGGUAGACUUGCUCACAAAACCUAUUGACCCUACGCCCUUUAAUUGUCCAGUCUUCAUCUGUUAGUAGAUAAUCCUUUUGUUUGGCUUUUCAAUCAUGUUUGUAUUUCCUAUUCUAUAACUUCCAUCAUGAAUAACAUUUUAAGUUCUUCACAUUUGAUAAUACCUUAGCUGAAAAAAUGUAAGGCUCUCUGCAUUGGUGAAAAUAUUUAAAAGAGUAAAUCAAAAUGAUACAAGAGCCAAAAACCAGAUUUUACUAUUCAGAGUUUGCUAUUUAUUUAUAGGGCAAUGCUAAACCGUGCCCCCAGAGGCAAUGGUUAAGCAUCCAAAACAAGAAAGUUUUCACAAAAAAAGUAAUGUAAUCGUUAUUUAGUCAAAAGUGAGACCUUAUGUUUCCAAGACAAAAUUUCUAUUCAUGGAUUCCUUAACCAAUGCCCAAGAAGCACUGGUUAACAAGACCCUUAUUUAUAACACUCCUUCUCAACUUAGUGAGUGGAUAUAAAUUAUUCCAAGCUUGCAAGUAAAAAGGUUGAAUCAUUCUGUCGGACAGAAAACUCUUUGUUAACACAUUUGUCUGUUGAUGCCCAAAAGGAACAUAAGCUGUAGUUGUCAGUUCUGUUGUGAAUUCGGUAACUUCAAAUCUUACACCAAUGAAAUUUAGAUUUGUGGUGAAGUAUCAAUGUAAACUAAUAACCACAAGCAACAACAACAAUUUUAGAUCUAAUCUAAAAACUAAGUGUAAAGCAAAACCACAAUCGAACAAAAGAAGAAACAAGAUAAAGAGAAUAGAGAAAAAGAGCAACGCCAAACAACCGUUUACCUAGUUCGGUCUAUCAUUGACCUACUUUGGGAAAGAGAUCAAGUUCCUUACAAAGAGAUACAAAAAAGGGUUACAAGAAAUUCGCUUCAACAAGUUCUCCAAGACAAAACCUAAUUUCUACCUUUUUCCCAAUCUCAUUCCAUGAACAAGAGACUCAAUGAUUUCACUCACCAAAGGUGUUUCCCAAUUGUUUUUCAACUCUAGAAUCUAACCCCCCAAAAGAGAACCAAUCCAUAUCCUUUGAUUUCCCAAAAAUAUUCUCUUUUGGUUUUCCAAGACUCACUCAAGUUGCUCGCAAAACUCUCCUUUGAUGUGUUUUCCAAAAGGGUCUUGUUACAAGUGUCCCCGGGACACUCUUUAAGCAUUCCAAAAUUAGUAAUUAUUUUUUAAAAAAGUUAAAUGUUUCGAUUUCCAAUGCAUUGAUUACACACUUUUUUAUAAAUACAUACUACUUAUAGUCCUUAAAGAGUGUCUCAGGGACACUUGUUAACAUUUCCCUUUCCAAAAUUGUGCCCCAAUUUUCCAAUUCAUACACGAUCGAUGCAAGGGAAUGUUAUCCAAAAUCAUACCCCAAUUUUUGUCGAACCAAAACUCCAAUUGAACUUCACAUUGUAUCUUCAAAUAUAUAUUCCAACACUUGUUUCAUCCAUAAUAGCUCACAAAUUCCUAGUGCCAUAACUCUAUAUUUUUCCUCAACGAUUGAUCAAUCAACUACACUUUACUUCUUAUUCCUUCAAGCAAUAAGGUUCUCACACAAUAAUGUACAAUGGUUAGAAGGAAAUCUUCUACUUGCAUGACCCACCCGCAAACCGUACCGGAUCCUCAUGGAAUAUUGCAUAACACUUUAUCGUUCCAACUUAUCACUUGGCUGUAUCAAUUUGUUUGAUAAAGUUUCAUCUGAAGUAUAUACUAUACACACACAAAAAUAAGAAGAAUUUCAAAAUUCAUUCUAAUACUCACAGCACAUUCCUAAAAAAAUAUAUAUAUAUAUAUAUAUACUCAUAGCACAAUAUGUGCCUAAUAUUAAGAAUAAUAACAACAGUUUAAAAGAUCGAACGACAUGUUGUUAAAGCCAAUGAUUUAACAAUUAACACUGAUUUUAACCAUAGAUUUGAACCUGAUUAUGCUCUAUAAAAAAUAAUAAAAUGAACAACACCUUUGUAUUUUGACACAUGUUAUAAACACAUCACUAAAACAGCACAAUCAACUUUCAUUUCGACUCUUUUUUGUUCGCAUCAAAGUUAGCUAGGAAAUAGCAAGCACAAAUGUACUUUUAAUACAAACAAUUAAUGGAGACGGAAAAAUCAAUUGUAGUUUUAUAACCAAUAGAUAGCCAAAUCCUAUCCCAUAAACAUACUCCAUAAUAAACAAACCAACUAUGAAUGAACAUAAGUUAUCUAUUUUAGAAGCAUUCAUCAUCCAAUAUACAUUAUAAUUCAAGCCUUAAAUGCUAACACAUUUAAGCUUCUUUGCCAAAAAAAAUUCAAUCGUUACUUUCUUCACAAUAUAGACCCUUCAAGAACAUCAACUUCUCCGUGGAUAACUCUUUAGAGAUAACACAUGCAAAACAAAACGCGGCAGUUGGAGAGCAAAUAACAAAAAGUGAUGAAGAUAGUAAUGGAGAGCAAGCAUGGAAACUACAACAAAAGUAUAUAUAUAACCAGCCUUCCUUCAUCAUACGUAUAAAUAGGACAAAAUAAUCCUUUUGUAAGUUGGUUUGUGUUUUAGUGGUUCACUUAUUGGUAAAGCACAAUAGCCAUUGGAGGUACUAUCUUGUUCCAAGAUUAAUUUACAUGCUAGAGAAACAAAUAUUGGAGUUCCUAGAAGAAAAAAGAAUACGGCAGUUGAUGUUGAUGUGGGCGUGAAACAUUGAUGGAAUGAAAAUGUGAUAGGCAAGAAUUGGAGUCCCUAGAAAUUAGAGUUCCAAGGUUAGCUUGCAUAAGAGAACGGACGAAAGGAUGGAAUGGAUGAUUAGGAAAGUUGAACAUUCUUGAUGAGGCCAAAGACAUUGAAUACAUAUUGGCGCCUUCCUCGUCUCUAAUAUAUAUGCCAAUACCUACUCGAUUGUCAUUAUUUGAAAAAGAAGCGUUUAUGUUACAUGUUUAAUACAUUUAUUACUAUAUGAUAUGAAUAUCUCUCAUAUUCUUAAAAAAAUAAAAUCUCACAUAUUUAUUUGAUAAUUAUAAAAUAUAUUUUUCAAUUAGUUUUUCUUGUUAAUGUGAAUAUGAUUUGAUAUAUAUUCGGUAAUUAGUUGAAAGCAACAUAUAUAUUAGAAAAUAUGAUGCAAUAAUAUUUUAAAUAAGUUAUAAUUUUAUUAUAUGGUCUAUGAAGCCCAGAUACAUGAUACGAUUCGACACCGAUACGGGAAAAUUUUAAAAUAUAAGAUACAAUACGGCUUGGAUAUACUUCAAUAAAAAAUUAAAUUUAAACUACAUAUUAAAACUCAAAACACAAAAUAUGGACUAAAACUCAAAAGCAAAAAAAUUGGUGCAAAACCCAGACCAAACAAAAUAGAAAAAGGAUAAGGCACAACAAUGAAAUUGCCUUCACACAACAAUCAACAAUUUCAUCGUUCUCAAACAAACAAAGAGAGAUGAAAGAGACGACAACAACAAUAGAAAUAUAAAUGUAACUAAUAUUAAUAAUAAAGAAAGCGAAAAUUAGUCAAUUACAUAUGUGAUAUAUCCUAAAUAGAAAACAUCAUUACUUAGUCAAUUACAUAUAUACCAAAUAUGAUAGAAACAUCAGGUAGCCCGCACAUAUCAGUUUUCCACCUCCUAUCGCUCUUAUCCCAGAUGUAUCUGAAAAGUAUCGCAUAAUUGUUUUUUUAAAAAAAUAAAAUUUCAUAUUCGGAUACUCUCCUGAUACGUAUCGAGAAGUAUCAAGCAUGUAUCAGUGCAAGAUACACAGGGGAUAAUGUUCAUCAUCCAUUUUGAAGUAUCUGGACUUCAGAGUAUAUGGUACAAAAUAUACAUGUGAAUCAAAAAGAAAAUAAUGACGAAGAUUAUGAAGUUUUUGUGUUUUUUAAAUGUGUGAAAUUUUAUUAAUUUUUUUAUAAAAAAAGUUUAUUUAACUUUUAUAUUAUGAAAUUUAUAUCAUCAUAUUUUUUUAUAAAGAUUGGGUUAAUAGUUAUGCGGUCCGAUCAAUGACCAAUUGAUCCAACCAUUGACCUAAUGACCCAGUGUUUUGGCCGAAUCGACUACCGGUUCGGGUUUUUAAAACACCGGAUUCACUGCAAGUAUUGGGUCAUUUACUCAUGUAAUUCAUUGUUGCUGGGAUAACUAACAUAUUUCAGGUCCUCCUCUAUGUCUGACCCGAAUUCCCAUAUAGAGAGAUAUUUUAAAUAGGAACCAAACGCAAGUACUGGACAUAACAAUAUAAGAUAGAACAACACAUCAGAAGGUAGAACAACACAUGACAAAUUUUUAUGGCAUUGAAUAAUUUUUUGUUUUAUACAAUUUUUGGGUACGAAAUGCUAUUUUUGUAUUUUUGACAACCUGUACGUGAGACAAAAAGUUGUGAUGUGGUUUGAUGAGGGACAAAAAUAUCAGCUUUUGUCAUGUCCCUUGCCUCCAGUUUGUCCUGUACAUGAAACAAUUUUACAAAUCAAACACUGGACAACUGAAGUUGUUUUGUCCUAUCCUUUAUUUUUUAGCAAAUCAAAGGCACCCAUUAUAUUAUUUCAGUGUUUUAGCUAUUUCUAUCUCAUAGUGGAUUUUCGAUUUUGCCAAAACCGAAUCAAUUCAUUGUUUAAGAGGACUAUGAUUCAUCUCCUUCAUAGAUGCUUGCAAGUAUUCUUAGUUUUAUGUUCGAAUUAGGGGAUGUUUGGUUUCUUACUAAUCCGCGGUCAAUGUUUGAAUUUCUGUACUAAUACAUCCAUAAAAACUUGAUUUGUUUUGACAUGUGGACAAUAGCAAAAAAGUGUCCUUUUUUUAAGGAAAGCAAAAAAGUUUUUGAACAAGAGGAAAGCAAAAAAGUGCCCUUAGCAUUUAUUAAAGGAAUACAAAUUUUAGAUGGUAUUCUGGUUGCUAAUUAGGUAGUUGAUGAAUCUAAAAAAUUGAAAAAAGAAUUGCUUUUAUUUAAAGUCGACUUUAAGAAAGCAUACAAUUCAGUUGAUUGGAAAUAUUUGGAUGAUAUUAUGGUUACGAUGUUGUUUCCGACUAUUUGGAGGAAAUGAAUGAAAAAAUGUGUUGGGACUGCUACUGCGACUGUUUUAUUGAAUGGUAGUCCCACUGAGAAAUUCACUUUAGCUAGAGGUCUGCGACAGGGAGAUCCCCUUUCACCUUUCUUGUUCCUUCUGGUGGUUGAGGGGUUUCAUGUGAUGAUGGAGUCUAUUGUUAAUACUAAUAAUAUUUUUAGUGAUUACAAAGUAGGGGGUCGGCCAUUAACUAUUUAUAACCCUCAGUUUACGGAUGAUAACUUUGAUUUUGGGGGAAAGAAGUUGGGCUAAUGUUCGAGCUAUGCAUGUCACCCUUCAUCUUUUUGCAGCGAGGUCUGGUUUAAAGGUUAAUUUCCACAAAAGUGAGUUAGUUGGCAUAAACAUUGGUGGGUCUUGGUUAGCUAAAGUUGCGGCGGUUUUGAAUUGUAAGGUUACAACAUUGUUUGUUUUGUAUGUGGGCCUCCCUAUUGAUGGAGAUUCUCGUCGAUUGAAUAUUUGGGAACCGAUGGCUAAUCGUAUUAAGUCCCACCUGUCAAGUUGGAAAAGUAGAAAUUUUUCUUUUCCAUUUGUUUGGACAUGGAAGUUGGUGUUUUGGAGGUUAUGAGAAUCAGAGAGUUUAAUUUAACGUUGUUGGGUAAGUAGUGUUGGAGGCUGGCGGUGAAUUGAAAGGGUCUCUGGUUUAAAGUCUUGGUUGAGAGGUACGGGGUUGUUGGGGGAGGUUGGAGGAGGGUGGUAGGGAUGGAUGAGUGUGGUGGAGGGAGGUAGCAGGCAUCCGUGAUGGCGUAGGUGCGGGUGAAGGAUGCUGGUUCACUGAUAAUUUGCGCAUUAAGGUUGGUAAUGGUGCCACCGCUUUGUUUUGGUUGGAUAUGUGGGUGGGUGAUGUUCCUCUUCGGGACAAGUUUCAUCGUUUAUUUGAUUUAUCAGAAAAUAAAGACUCGCCUAUCGCUCAAAUAUUUUCGUUAGGGUGGGGUGAGGGAGGGGAGGCUUGGAAGUGGAAGAGAAAAUUAUGAGCGUGAGAGGAGGAGAUGGUAGAUGAGUGUAGGGUGUUACUGCUGACUGUUUCUUUGUAGGGUGAUGUUCAUGAUGUUUGGUCUUGGGGUCCUGAUCCAAUUGGUGGGUAUUCGGUCAAUGGUGCAUGAUGUAGGAGGGUUUCCAUAGUAUUUUAUUAUUUCAAUCUAAUUUUAUUAUUGGUUGUUUUGUUUUCAGUUUUUUUUUUGCCCAUUAGGGUUUUGUUAUUUCCCUAGUUAAGCUUUAACAUUGUAGGCCAAAGAGGCAACUUUUAUUCAUUCAAUAAUAUUUUAGAGAGUUUUUCUCAAUUUUUGGUGGAUUAUGGAACCCUAUUUUCACAAGUUCAUCGCUUACAAACUUGUUCCUUUCAAUCUAGGUUUAGCGCUUGCUAGCCUAUCCUUCCGUACUAGUCAGUUGGUAUCAGAGCAGGUUUCUCCUGUUCUUUUCCUAACAUGAUCAGCCAUAGGCCGGGCAGGCCUUGAGGGAGUGCAAGGUGCUCAAUCAAGCCGGGCCUCCAAAAUCUAUGGGCCUCCGAAAAAAUUAACUCUAAUACCCACCCCACUUAAAUAUAAAAAUAUAUAUGUUACUUCUUUACACGUUUGAGUUUCUUCUAGACUUUAGUUCUCCUAUCUGGACAUAAAUUUGGUACUAUCAAACCACUACCAAUUGGUAUAAUGACUUAAUCAGUCAAUUUGAAAAGUUAUUUCAUAGAAAGAAUCACAACAAUCAUUUCUUUUUCACAUAAACCAUUCGUUUUCCCCUUUCCCACAACGGAUAAUUGACAUAUUCAAAUGACACCGUUUGUAAAUUCUACCUCUCUUUCACUUAAUUUUUUUGUAUUUCGUUUCAUGUUUACAAGCUCUUCUGAUUCUGAUUUUUUAAUAAAGCUUAGCUACACAAAAAAAUUACGUUUUUAUUUUAUUGGGGAUCUAUUUUAAAUAGAGAGCCGAGCCUUCUAUUUCAUAGGGACGGCCCUAUAGGUGAUCAAAAUUAAAUGGAAAGUUUAGUCUUCUUUAUCAUUCCCUUCUUUUCAAUUAAAGUUGUCGUCCCUCUAAAUUUCCAUUCCCUAUUUCAAUUGUCGUUCAAGUUAUUAACUUCAUCCAAAGUCCAUUUAUUUCAAGUGCUGCUACAUAUUACUUUCUUUUUUCAAUCGAAUUGCUGGCUGUUGUGUAUCAUAUUUUGCUGGUGGCUGUUUGAAUUGAAUUUGCAUGGUUAGAAAUUCAACAUUAUGUCGUGCCCUUAUAAUCUACCUCCUCCGGUCCUAUAUAUAAGAAACAAUUUACUUUUUUGAUUCAUUGAAUAGUUGAUGUAUUUGGUCUAUUUCUGAACUAGGUACAUCAAUUAUUGAAUGAAUCUAAAAAGUUAACUUUUUCUGAUAAAUAAGACCGGAGGUAGUAUAUGAUUGCCGCAACCAUUCUUCUUUUUAAUUAAAGUUUCCAUCUAAUUAAAUUUAAUCCAACCAUGAGAGAUCAACAGGUCGUGAUUUUAACUGCGGCCAUCAAAGCACUAUCAGAUCAGAUGGCAACGUUGAUAGCUAAGGUUGACGAGAUAAAAAACAGUAACAACAACAGAAAUGAUCCGAACAGAGGAGGAGGAUCAAUUCCGGUUAUUAGGGUUCGUAAUAACAACCAUAUUAUUGUUAUGUAUCGAAAAUUAGAACAUACUCGUGAAGGUGAGAAAAAACACAAGAAGGGGGGGUUGAAUUGUGUUUUCUUUUUCUCUCUAAAAAAUACUUCUUCUGAUAAAAACUUCAGAAGCAGUUUGUGAAUGCUUCUGAUGAAAUGAUCAGAAUCAGAUAUGCAGCGGAAAAGAUCAAAGCAGAGAAAAGAAAAGCAAGACACAAGCAGUUAUCCUGGUUCCUUCCACAAAAUGGAAGUAGUCCAGUCCCCCUUGCACUUCCAAGGAGAUUUCACUAUAAUCACAAAGAUUACAAAUGCUCAAUACUCUCUAAGUAUGAGACUUCUCAAAAAUGCUCAAGCACACACGCAAGAGUCUUCCAAUGCUCAAGCACUAAGCAAGAGUCUUCUAAUGCUCAAGCACGCAGGCAAGAGGCUUCUGAUCAAACAAAAAUACAAUGAAUUAAGUUUGACUUGAACACUUGAUAUACAAUCAGUGGUGUUCACAAUACAAUACAAUAAAGACUCUAGACUUUUGAAUUUCUAAGAUGUAUCAAAUCAGUGCAGAAAUUCAGUGUGCUUUGUAGAAUCAAAUUGACAGAGUUUUGGCGCUUUUUAACUUGUGUAUCUCUAUCUACAAUCUUCAAGUCUUCACUCCUUUAUAUAGAGGCGUGAAAGAGACGUUGAGAUAAUUAGCACGUCUAAAGAGUCGUUUGAAAUCCUUUGAUCAUUCACCAGUAAUCCUUUGCCUGAUUUGGGUGUAGUCCUUUGAAGAAUUAGCUUCAAAUUCAUUCCCAUCUUGAAGGCACAAAUUCUGCAGGCAUAGCUGUUGUCUUGUCUUGUAGCGUGGACAAAACAGAGUAGUGGAGGUAGUGGUUGUACACUUGUACUUUGUCAACUCUGUUAACGAAGGACAAAUACUCAGUGCUAUCCAAAUGACCGUUGAUACCUCCCUUUCAAUUCUUCGUUCUUCUUAGAUAAUGUUGAAAUGAGAAACAGCUACUUUGGAUCUUCAGUUUGAAUUUACGGAUAAAAUGUAGCUUCUGGUGAUGAUAUCGCUUCUGAUGAAAACCUUGCUUCUGAUGAGCUUCUGCUUCUGAUGACGUCAUCACUUCAGAUGCACUUCAGCUUCAGGAGCACUUCAAGCUUCAGACGCAGUUUUCUUCAGAUGCUAUGAAUUCCUUUGCUUUCCAUUGUUCUUCCAAGACCUAUUGAAAUUACUUGACUAGCAUUUGGUCCUGUAUACUUGAACAAUAAUUAGAAAUAACCAAUUGACAAUUUUUAAUACCUUGUUAUCAUCAAAACUCAUUAAGGUUCAUUGUAAAACACAUUUUGUUCCAACAACUCGUGAAUCUGAACAAGUUGAAGGAUGAUCAUUACGAGUUUAAAAUCUCCGAUUCGAUAUAUCGUUGUCCGUUUUGUUACAACAAGGAUUCCUUGACCGACCUUUUGAGACAUGCUUUUAGAAUUGCAGGUAACUUGCGUAAGACGGUUAAAGAUAUUGCCAAACAUUCAGUUUUGAUAACAUACAUUCUAAGGUAUCAUAAUGUUAAUGUUGAUAAAAAUAAGCCACUUGAUGUUAAUAUUGCUAGUGAUAGCCACUUGGUGUCGGUAUUGCUAGCGGUAAGCCAGUUAAUUUGAGUGUCGUUGAUCAGAAGUCGCUUGGUAUGAAUGUAACUAAGUGUCAGCUAGCGAACGUGAAUGUUGUUGAUAGUUUUGUUGCCACAAUGGAAGAAUACAUUAAGGAAUCCACCAAUGAGAAGAUUUGUACAACAUAUUUCUCUAAUAAGAAGCCGCGGUUAUCCUCCGAUGCAUGCUCAGAGAUGCCAGAAAUAAUUAUCACCGAAAUUGAGAGUACGAUGGAUGUUAAUCCUCCAGAAUCUGCUGCGAUAAUCAUCCAGGCUUCAAUUAGAGGAUAUUUAGUUCGGAGAGCACUUCUAAAGAGUAAGAAUGUAGUGAAGUUGCAAGCUGUUGUUCGCGUUCACUUGGUUAGAAGGCAUGAUGUUGGAGCAUCGCGAUGUAUUCAAGCUAUUACUAAAAUGCAAGCUCUGUUUUCAGUUCCGAAUCACAAUUCAACAAUGGGAUUAGGAGUCAAUAUUGCAAGAAUGAAAGGGGGUGAAAUUUAAGGAAGAUGAUUCCCAGAGUAUUGACUGUGAAAUAGUGGAGAAAAUGGAAGCUCGAUAAGUGCCAUAAUGGUUAUUCGUGAAAUAGAUGAUGGUCAAUAUUUGAUGCUUCGGAAUAUGUUACCUCUGAUGUGAUUCAAACACCACUUGAAGUUUUCAAAAGCAUGGAAGCUGAUGGGUUUCCCAUUAAGCGUGGUCGUGUACCCAUCACCUAUGCACCUGAUAUUUUGGAAAAUAAUAUUUUGCUUCUGCCAAAGAAUCUGAGCGUUAUGAAUGUCACCAAACCAGAGUUCACCAAAGAUCAAAAUGUAUAUCCUAAUCAAAGCACAAAACUCUAAUGGGAUGAGAAAUGGAAAUAGUUUUGAUGCUGGAACAGUUCAUACUACUAGUUUGGACAUAACUUCUUUGAAUUUCAUUCAAUGGGAUCGUGGAGGGUGGUCGCUUUGUUCAUUGGAGGAGUCAACAUUCAUGGGAAGCUCUUUAUCAGAAUAAGAACUCGGGCUCGAGUUCUUCAGAGGUGGAGGAGACUCAUGCACAAGAGUUUCCAUAGUAUUUCAACCUAAUUUUAUCAUUUGUUUGUUUUGUUUUCAGUUUGUUAUUUUUGGCCCAUUAGGGUUUUGUUAUUUUCCUAUUUAAGCUUAAUAGUUGUAGCCUAAGAGACAACUUUUAUUAAUUCAAUAAUAUUUUAUAGAGUUUUCUCAAUUUCUGGUGGAUUCCGGAACCCUAUUUUAACAAGUUUAUCGCUUGCAAACUUGUUUCUUUUCAAUCUAGGUUUAACGCUUGCUAGCCUCCGCUUCCGACUGCGUCAAUGCAUACCGUAUUCUGACUGACGCGAACUCCCUCCACACUUUCAUUCCAUCAGACUUAUUGUGGAGAAAGGAGUUCACGUUGAAGGUCUCAGUGUUUGCUUGGCGACUAUUUCAGAAUAGAUUAUCAACAAAGGGGAAUUUAUUUUGUCGCGAGAUCAUACCUCAUGAGUCUCAAUUAUGUGUUAGUGUUUGCGGUAAGGAGGAAACAACCCAACUUUUAUAUUUAGGUUGCAUAAUGUUUGGUUCUAUUUGGAAACUUGUUCGAAAUUGUCUUGGAGUUCAUUUGGUCGAUCCGUUGAAUAUUGUUGAUCCGUUGAAUCACGUCGGUCAUUUAUGUUCUUGAUUUGGUUUGCGACUUUUUGAUCGAUUUGGAAGGAAAGAAACAUCAUGAUUUUCGAUGGCAAAGAAAAUGCUAUAUAUAUAUAUAUAUAUAUAUAUAUAUAUCUUUUUGAUAUCUUAAAGCAAAAGGAAAAAAGGGUCCUUAGCCAAUCUUUUAAGAAAAAAUAAAAUAGGGCUUAAAUAAAUUUUUGAUUGCAUAAAAUUUUGCAUUUAGUUCCUCUAAAAUUGAAAUUCUUAAAACUAAUGAAUAAAUUUAUUUUGUAUUUGGGGUUUAGGGUGUCACAUAGAUAAUUAUAUACGAGGUUUUUUUUAAAGGAAUUUAUAUAUAAGGUUAUAAUUGCACCAACAACAUAUUUUUCACCCGGAAAAAAGAGAGAAAGAAAAGGUUGUAAUUACAUGUUAUUAAAAAAAGAUAACAAUUUAUUUAUGGAAUUUUUUCCUAACUACUUUCUAGAUAAACGUAAUACUUUUUUUUUAUUUUUUUAUUUUGACCGUACUUUCUAGAAAAACGUAAUUUUUUUUUUAUUUUGAUCGGAAAAAUCAUAAUACUAAUUAUUUACAUUAAUUUUAUACGAUUGAGUCAAACAAAAAUUUAUUGCAUGUUUCCUUGAGAGAGGUAUAUAUAUAGCACAAUGGAGGUCAUAUUCAUCUCAAACAAAACAUUCAAUUAAAUAAUAUAUUACUAAAAAAAUGAAGUUCUCACACUACAGAAGAGUUUCAAUCAACCCUCUUAGUUAAUGUAUUUCGAUUGUAGUUCAAAAUUAUUUGUUGUAGUCUUGUAUUAAUUUUUUAUGUUUUUUUUUCUUCAGAUUAUACAUCAAAAAAAUCUCAUGGCGUUCGCUUCCUCGUCGCUAGCUGAAAAGAAGAAGGUUAUGUUCGUAAUGGGUGCAACAUACAUCGGAAAAACUAUACUUUUCAUCUACUUAGGUACUCAUUUCCUCUAUGAAAUCAUCAAUUCAAAUAAAAUUCAAAUUUAUAAAGAUCUUGACUUGACACCAACUUAGUACCAAAAUCUGAACGUUGUUCGAUUUUCACAUCACGUUAUGCAUCAUCAAUGAUCCUGAUAUGAUUUCAUUGUGAUUAAUUUUUUGCAAACACAUGCUUGAAACUCUAUAUUUAUAGGUGAAAAUUGACACCUAACCAUUAUUGUAAGAGGGUCACAUUCUUACAUUGAAAUAUUAGUUGAUUACCCAAUCAUUGAAUUUUGUUCAAAAUAAUAUUGUUGUUUUAUUUAGCUUGAUGCUUCUUUGCCUCGUUUGAUUUAAUAUUUAUACAAAAGAGGAGACCAAAUGGUUGAGGCAGAGAUUGUGGAUGAAAUUAGAGAAAAGGAAAAAUUGGAUUCCUAAGCUUGAUUGUUAUUUUGAGAUUGAAAAGGAAAAAUCUCUAAUCUUGUACACAAGACCUGCCUCGACCACUUGAUAAACUCUUUUGUCUACGUAUUGAAACAAAAUAGGCAAAUAAACAUCUAGCCAAAUGAAACAACAUUAAAUCUUUAAACAAAAUGUAAUAAUUGCAUCAUCAACUAAUAUUUAUAAGUGAGAAUUUUCCCUCCUAUAAUAAUGUCUAGGUAACAAUUUUCAACUCUGAAAUAUAAAGCUUCAAACAUGUGUUUUCAAAAAUCAAGCACAGUAAAAUCAUAAUCAGAAUUAUUGGUGAUACCUAAUAUGUGAUGUGGAAUCGAACAAUGUUUAUAUUCAGAUACCUUGUUUGUGACAAGUCAAGAUCCUUAUAGACUUAAAUUUUAUCUGAGUUGAUGAUUUCAUAGAGGAAUCGAGUAUCUAAGUAGAUGGUAAAUUUAUUUUUUCCAAUUCCAGUUGCUUCCAUUAUGAACAAAACCUUAUUCUUUUCAGCUAGUAUUGAGGAACAAAAAACCAUGUUUUUUUUUUUUUUUUUUAUGUAUAACCUAAGGAAAUGACAAUAAUAAAAAUAAUUAAAAACUACAACAAAUGAUUUUGGACUAGAAUCGAAAUGGAUUAAUCUUAUACAUGUUGUCAAUAAGGAUACUAGUUAUAUGAAGAAGAGAAUCAAUUGAAACUUUAUUUGUGCUAUAUAUAAUGAUUUAUGAUAUAUGGAGAGAGGGACGGCUGAAUAUGCAAAUUUGGAAUCAAUUUUGGAGAUUCAUGGAGGGCGGGUUUAUCAUCUUGGGUGUCGUAGGGGUGGCUGAGGUUCUAGGGCUACCCAAUAGUUUUAUGAUGUUGUUGUAGUAUUUUGAACAAAUUUGAUUUUUUUAUUUUAUGUUUGAAUAUUGGGUGUUUGUAACAUAUGGAUAAUUUGUUUUUAAUUUUAUGUUUGAAAUUGUGUUGUUUUUGAUCAUUUUCAUUAUAGUAUUUAUUUAUUUAUUCACGAAUGCAUGUUUAUAUCAAAAGAUUAUAUAAUCUGUAUGUAUCAGAGUGAAAAAAACUCUGUUUUUGUUAUGAUACCUUUCAGAUUAUAUAAUAUGAAAUGUCAUAAAACAAUUCGGAUUAUAUAAUCUAAAAUAUGCCUCUUGUGGGUUGUGGGGUGUUUGACACUUUUCGGAUUAUUUAAGCCAAAUUAUUUUAAGAAGUUUCGGAUUAUAUAAUCCAAAACGUAUGUUUAACUGAGACCUACACAAACAUCUCUAGGGUGCUUUGUCUUCCAAUAGUUUUUAUACUGAUUGGAUUAUAUAAUCCGAACCUAAGGUAUUUUGAGAAAAAAAAUAGGGCGCUCAAGAACCAAAUAGGGUGGAAAAAGUAAUGGCUAAUAUUGAUUGCCCCAGUAAGGAGCCAGAGCCUGAAAAAAGUACCAUACAUGAUUGAUAUUUGUGGAGGCAUUAAUAGUCACAAAACUACACGUGGCAAUUUCAUAUUGGUGGCUAAUGAUAAGGCUAGCACAAAAAUUUCCAUUCCUGUGUGGUUGAUAUGGCAGCAAAGUUUAUCAUAUUCACAACCAACAAAAUGGUAUUAUGAAGCAUUACCACAAUUUAUAAGACCAUAAUAUUGGAAAUAGAAAAUUAAAAAUAGUAUAUAUAUAAGUUUGAGUAUAGGUUUUGCAAUUCAAGCAGAAGUAUAUCUUACUAGUGAACUAAGGGAGAAAAACAUGGCUUCCUCUAUGAUGUCCUCUUCAGCUGUGACUACAGUUAACCGUGCCUCUUCGGUACAAUCCGGUGCGGUGGCUCCAUUCGUCGGACUCAAGUCCAUGGCUGGCUUCCCAAUUACAAAGGUCAACAAAGACAUUACCUCCAUUACAAGCAAUGGCGGAAGAGUAAACUGCAUGCAGGUGAGAAAAAACAUGCCUACUAUUUUAGUUUAUUUGAGUUUGUUAUUAGCAUAAUCGAAACAAUUUAUGACAUGUCCGUAAACUGUUUUCAUCUUAUAUUUUCAUAAGCCCUUCAAGAUAGUUUAUGAAAACAGGUUAUAGACUAUAUGAAAAAAGUUUGACUUUAAUUUAUCUUUUGUCAUAAAAAUAACUUUUACAUAUUUAGAGAUUCGUUGAAAAAUGCACACAAGUUUGUUAACCAUUUUGUGCAAUUUUAGGUGUGGCCUCCUAUUGGCAAGAAGAAGUUUGAGACUCUUUCAUAUCUUCCACCAUUGACCAGAGAACAAUUGGCGAAAGAAGUUGAAUACCUUAUAAGGAAGGGAUGGGUUGCUUGCUUGGAAUUUGAGACCGAGGUCUAAUAUUACUUGCAAUAUCUUCUCAAUAUUUAUAAUCGUUGUUUUGUCACGGCCAAGGUCACAGUCACAAAUUUGUAUUUAAAACCCUUUUAAUUUGUGUGUGGCCGAUGUGGCCUCAAUUGCUGUCGAACUGCGGUUUCAAUAACAUCAAAAACCGUUAUGUCGCGACCCUGAUCGUGGUCACGGACCUUUAUUUAAAAUCCAUUUGAGUUUUGAUGGUUAACAUAUGUUUGUUUUGACUUCUACUUGCUUACUUGCAGAAAGGAUUUGUGUACCGUGAGAACCACAGUUCACCAGGAUACUAUGACGGACGUUACUGGACAAUGUGGAAGUUGCCUUUGUUUGGAGCAACUGAUGCUUCUCAAGUGUUGAAGGAGCUUGAUGAAGUUGUUGUUGCUUACCCUAAUGCCUUUGUCCGUAUCAUCGGAUUCGACAACGUUCGUCAAGUUCAAUGCAUCAGUUUCAUUGCACACACACCUGAAGUUUACUAAAUUUGAGUGUUAAAUCACUCUUGGCUACCAUUGGAGGAACAUUUUUUUCGCUCUAUUUGUUCUGUUUGUAAUUUCCUUUUAUUUUUUUAAGGAAAUGUCGUACUGUGUUUUUCAGUUUUACCUUUCGGAUUUUAAAAUGCAAAUGGAUGGAUAAGAGUUGAUAAAUGAAAUGGCACUUCUAUUGAUUCUCAAAUUAAUAUUAUCUAUUGUUUUUAUGAGGUUAUUAGGCAAACUUUUACCAUUGCAUUCCAAAAAGUCUCAAAGCCAUUCGUGGUCUGAAAAUCAUCUUCAGACGCUAAAUAUCAGGCCUCUUACCUUCUACUGUUUGCAAUGGCUUACAUACCUUCAGUAUGAUUCCCAUUUACUUUUCAUUUUCCAAUCUUUAUUAUACCGUUGAUGGCCGGUCUGCUCACUACAUCGCAUCCAAUUCUUCCCUCUAUGAACGAACAAAACACAUCGAAAUUGACCGUCUUGUUAGGGAAAAGGCCUCAAUCGAAGUUGUUUCAUCUACUGCUUAUUUUCAUAGUUGAUCAUUUCCCAAGCUGAAAAUGCUAAAUGAUCAUAUACAAGAUUGUGACUGCACAAGUCCCAUCUUUUUCGGGACACUUAAUGAUUUCUUUUACCAUUUUUUAAUCCUAUAAUAAAGUUUGCAUGGUAAAGGUUAGGGGCACAAACAGAUUAAACAGUCUUGGUUUGAUUUUAUAUAAAAUAAUUUUUUUUAAAUACUUGAUUAUGAACUGAUUAUAAUAAUUUUGCUGUGAAAUAAAAAUGCAGGAUGAUAAUAAUUUUAAUGAUUAUGAAGGGAACAUUUUCUCAACUUACAUUGACAUCCAAAAUAAAAGAGAGGACCUGUUGAGAAUAAUAUGUAUAUAUCCUUAGAAGAUUAUAAAUGUAAAUUUAAAUAUAUUUAAAAUAAGAUAUCAUUAAGAUAUAACUAAUCAUUAUUGGUUGUAUUACAUUACAUCCUUUAACAGCAGCGCUAGCAUUGGAUAUUGAUCCAAGUACAAUGUGAGUGUUAGCAGAGCCGUUGUAAGACCCACGCGUGUCCGGCGGUUACGAAAUUAUAGGAAGUGUAAUCGUCGGGGAGAGAUUCGCGGAAACAUGGGAAAGAGACGUUACAGUUCGUUUGAACCGGUCUCUGUUGCUCCGAGUACUCCCUCGCGGGGAAGGAGAGUGUUGCGAGUAAUAGUACCAAAUGCAGUAUUUGGGUUGUAAUUGUUAUUGGGCCUAAGCAAUUGGGCCUUAGGUGUUUGGCCGGUCCAAAACACUAACAAAUCCAAAACUCUUUUAAAACUAGACUAUUACUUUUACCACCCUCCUCUGUGAAGCCUAAUCAGAUUUACUUUAUAUGUUUUUGAUGAUGUUCUUUAGCUUAGUUUAUCGUUUUAAUAAUUGCCUUAUGGCUAGCAUGUUAUAGCAUCCAUCAUCUAUGUGUCUUGAUCUAGGAUUUACUUGCGUCUUGUGCAAAAGUGUCAUUGUUCAUCUUUUGGCAUAUUGAAUCGAUUCAUCACUAUCAAUUACACUCAAUCAAUUCAUUUGAAGGUUGAAUCAUAUCAUUCUUCAUCCUUGACUCACUUAAAUCGAUUCACUUAUGCAUUGAAUCGUUUCAUCCUUCAUGCGUUCUUGGGUUGUCUUUUGCUAUCUGAAUCGAUUCACUCAUUUAGUGAAUCGAUUCACCAUGUUGAUUUUGUGCGAAAAUUUUGUCUUGUCACUUUUCUCUAUAUAGAGUCUUCCCUUCAUAUCUCUCAAUUUAUUGAAUCAUUUGCAACUAUUCUCUCUAGGCCUCAAAAACUCUUUGCACAUAAAUUCUUCAAGAUUAAACACUUUUUCUUAGAAUCAUUUGUUCUUUGAGUUGCAUUGAUUUGUUAGGGUACUAGUAGGGAUUGUAAGUUUGUUCUUUCAAGAAAAUUGAUUGGGCUUAAUCAAGGUUUUAAAGUGAAGUGAAUAAUCUCAUUCCACCUCCAAACGACUUGGGGGUCUUUCUAACCGUUCUUGAAGUCCAAGGGGAUUCGCUUACCAGACGUAGCAUUGAAGGCUCAACUGAAGAGUUCGAAGGGGUGCACGGGUAUUCAAGGAUUCAAAGAUUCAAGGAGCACCAAAUUCAAAGGUUAUUUGAAGUUUGGGAGAAUGUUUGCAUAGGGGUUGAAGAAUUAGGUUUAAUUUCAAGGAACUCUUGUAAACACAUUGUAUUUAACAUUUGUUACAUAGUGGAUGACCUUGGUGAAGGCGUACUUCAUCAAGAAGAGUAGACGUAGCUCUAGAGAUGACAAGAAAGAGCAAACUACAAUAAAAAUAUUGGUGUUAUCUCUCUUCCCCUAUCACCUUUACUUUUUACUAUUGCAUGUGAUUAAUUGAAUAGUUGUUAGGAUAAUUGCUAGUGUUGAUCUAAGUUGUUUUUCAUCAAAAGAUAAUCUAAUUCAUUGAAUUAGGUUUUACCUAAUUUGCUUAGAUCAAUUGAUUGCAACAUCUAUUCAAUUCUUCAGUUUCAUAUGCAUUGUGUUUUCAAUUGAUAGCUUAGCAAUUCUGUCCAUAUAGGUUUGGUUUGAAAUUGUCUAAAUGUUUUGUAUAUUGUUCAAGGUUUAUUAAAGUUUGAUUGUAUAUAAUAUUUGUAUCAUGAAUCUCUGAAUUCUAGAUAAAAUCGUAUCUCACAUAGAUUUAUCUUUUUGUAAAUUGUUGUGAUUGUUUCCGCACGAUUUCAAUAGUCAAUUUCGUUAAACUCCCUUUUUAUUAACUCCGGAAAAACUCCCCCCUCCCCCCCCCCCCCCCCCCCAGCUUAAAAACUAAUUAGCCAUAUAGACCAACACUCUAUUCUAGCACGCCCUGCUAAAAAGACAGAGAUACCUUUGGUCCUGAUUAUAUAAUCUGAACCAGAUCGUUGGAGUUUUUCGGUUUACAAAAUCCGGUCAAUUUCAAAAUGUGAUUUUUGGUGUUUUCUUUGAAGUCAAAGGUCUCUGUUGACCGUUAUAUAACCCCCGCAUAAGCUGCAAAGCAAUUGUUGGGUGAAGUGAAGAAUGAAGAAAUUUGUUGAAGAUGGAAGCCUAUUUAUAGCCUAAAAUAAGUCAUAUGUCAUAAGUACAGUCAAUGAAAACGUGUUUGUGGUGCUAACCAUCCAAAAAUGCAUUAAUGGCUCCACUAACCAGCCAAACCUUUGGUGAAACGCCACCGUCCAAAAGAAACUGAGGGUUUUCGAAUUAUAUAAUCUGAAAAUGACAAAAAGAUUCCAGAUUAUAUAAUUCGAACAACAUCAGAAUGCCUAUUUGGAGGGUUUUUUUUAGAGAGAUUUUUUGGAAUAUGACAUAAAAUAAUUAAUAAAUGGAUAAAAAAAACAAGUAAGCAGUAGAAAACAACAUAAACAACAAAAUAUUUUAGGAUAGUGUUCUAAGUGGUGCUUUUGAACUCGAUCUAGCUGGCCUGCCAACUGACAUAUUUCUAUCGGAAGGCCAACUGGAUCGAGCUCAUAAAAACCUUUUCGGAUUCUAAUCUGCAACAUAACGUUGAAAGACAAGGUGUUUCCAGAGGAUAGUUUUGAGUUAGAUCCGGCUGCCUUUCCAAUUGAGAUAUUUAUAUCGCAUAGGCAGAACAAUCUAGCUCAUAGCAACCUCUUGGUAUUCAAAUAGAGAGCAACAUCUUUGUAUCUAUCUAUAUAUUUUUGACAACAUGCUGAAGAUCUACAUAAUGAUGUCAAAUAAAGAGCUAUCUAUUUGAGACAACAUUAGGUAGAUCCUCGGCGCAAUGACAAAAAAUUCAUGGUUUCUUUGGUGUGUUUGGUUGUAAUUUUGACAGCAUGCUGAAGAUCUUCAUCACGCAGUCAAAUAGAGAGCUAUCUAUUUGUGAUCGUGAGAGAAAGAUCAUAUGUUUAAUGACAAAAAUUUGCAUGGUUUUCUUUGGUGUGUUUGUGUGUUUGGUUGGAAAUGAAGAUGAAAACCGGAAAUACUUAUUUAUACAGGUCUCUGGACAUUUUGGACCAUAGAAACUGUCGGUGCAUUGUGAUUCAUACAAAAGAAUCCUAUCUGAAGGAAUUCGGAUUAUGUAAUUUGAAUUGCACUUACAGCCUAUAAAAUUGAUUUGAAUUCGGAUUAUUUUAGCAUUUAACUAAACAUAUUUGACGUAAAGUAACACAUAAUGAAAAUUUAGAUAAUAUAUAUAUUAUUUAAAACAUAAUAAAACAUCUUAGUUGAACAAAAUAUAACUUACACGUAAUUAAAUAAAACAUAAAACACGUAACUAAAUAAAAAAUAGUACAUCAUCAUAGAUCAUUUAAACUAAUGUCUUCGUCUGGUGCAUCCAUUAAUUAGUUCCCUGAUCUCUUCGUAGUUCCUGGGCCGGAUCAAAAUUUGUUGAAUAUGUUAAACAAAUCUAACCAACGAAGCAUCCAACUUGAUUGGUCCUCUAGUACUGUACUGACCAAAGAUCGAGAACAUGGUUCUCACCUCGUCAUCUUUUUUGAGCUUCAUCCUGCUGAACUACACACUCCCGGCUAAGUCGGUCGAUGGACAUCGAUACUCUACAUCAUCCACUGAUGUAGUAUUUUUGCAUCAAACAAUUGUAAGUAUUUAUAUCGUCUCCUCAGGGACUAGUGCGAUAUCGCGGACCGUUCGACACCAAAUAUCAUUUCAAGUUAAACGAUAGUUGAUUGUUUGUUUUAGUAACUGAAUUGCAAAUGAUACAAUUGAGAUUAAUAGGGCGUAAAACUUGUUAGGAUUAGAGUUCCUUGAUCGAGCGUCGCACGUAACCUAAUGAGCAUACAUGGAUUCUAGCUUGUCUUUGAUAUUAUCACGUAUCCCUCGACAACACCAUUCGUGUCCAAACAAUAUUGUGAAAUCAAUUGUAUCAUUCAAUGGUCGAUGUCUCAAACUAUUGAAUGAUUCAAGAGUCGAUCUUAUCGUUCAAUCGAUGAUUUCUCAAUCUAUUAAAUGAUAAGAAAGCUUUAGGUUUGGAUACUCAAGGUGAUUAUCAAAACAUCGAUUCCAUGUCUAGAAACUAUGUUUUGAUAGAUGGUUAUUCUAAACCUAGAUUCAAAAGUAUUUCUCAAUCACAAUUAAAUCAAAGAUAAAGAUUAAAGUGCAAGAAUAACCUCAAUAUCAAUUCAAAUGCUAGAACCAUAUAUUUAUAGAUCAAACGAUUACAUGUUAAACUAUGAUCAAGUACCUCUAAUCCCAACAAAGGAGAUUUAGCUACUCAUUGUCAUGGAAGCCUUGCAAGAAUGAAUUGAAGAAGCAAGAUUCAUUACAACUUGUGAUGUCUCAACAAAGGAUGAAGAAUCCACUCUCUAUCACUCUCACUCUAUAAAGCACAAGCCCUAUCUCUCUCUCUCUAAGAAUAUUACAAGUGAAAACACAGAGAGAAACUAAGUGAAAAACUAUGUAAAAACUAUCUCCCUCUGAAAUGGUUGAGUGGGCUAUUUAUAGAAUUCUGAGUCUGCCUUCACUCGCCUCGCGAGCUGCUUCAUUCGCCAUGGCGAGUUGAAGUUUCUUCCCCAUUGGGUUUGUGCCACGUCAGCAUUUAGAGGCUAAACCGCCCUUACUCGCCUCGCGAGUCCUUCCAUUCGCCAUGGCGAGUAAGCUCGCCUUCUACUCGCCAUUGCGAGUUGGUGGCGUGUGAUCUUUGUUGCAUUCUGGAAUUGCUCGCCUUUGCUGCUUGCCAUGGCGAGUUGGAGGCGAGUGAUCUCCUUUUUCUGCCUUUUUGUACUUUUCUCGAUUUUCUUCUCUUUGCUUGAUGUCUUGAGUUCGAAUCCUGCACAAAUGGGUGAAGUAAGAUAGAUAAAGCGUAAAAGGGCAAUAAUCACUUAUUUCUCGGCUUUUCCCUUAAUAACUUGCAAAACAAGUAACAAAAGUGCCUAAAAUAUAUCACUUAAAUUACAACUUUCUAGCACUUAUCAUCCACCCUCCGUGUGUCUUUGUAGUUGAGUUUGAGGUUAAUUUGAUUCAGCCGACUCUUCAACCCGGAGAGGGUGAGAUCAGUGGGAAUCUUGAACAAAUGGGAUGGUUUCCCCUCGUUGUAGUAAACUACGGCUAGCUUGGUGUUCGGAUCAAAGACAGAGUUUUCCAUGGUUUUUUUGUGUGUGUAGUUUCUGGUUAUGAACACAGAGACACCUAUUUAUAGAGGUCCAUGGGCGUCCUGGACCAUAGAAAUUGUCGGUGCAAUGUGGACCACAUGAAAAAAAAUCAUGUUUCAGAUUGUAUAAUUCGAAAUGUCCCUCACCCCACAGAAGGUGGGCAGUUUCCUUUAAUUUUGCCCAGUAUCCUAAAAAUUCGGAUUAUAUAAUCCGGAAACCAUGGGAAGUUUUUGGAUUAUAUAAUCUGAACUGUGUCAGUUUCUUUUGGACGGUGGUCUGCACCACAAGAAACACGUUUUCAAUGGUUUUUACCAGCAUUAAUGGCUGAUAAAAGUCCUUUGAAACACAUUUUUGACUCACCAUUAAGUUUGUAAUUGCACCAACAACCCAUUUUUAACCUGAAAAAUAAGAGAAAAAUAGGGUGUAAUUACAUGUAUAAUAAUAGGUAACAAUUAUUUAUGGAUUUUUUUUUCUCUAAAAUACUCUCUAGAAAGACGUAAUACUUUUUUAUUUUGACCAAAAAAACAUAAUACUUUUGCUUUUACAUUAAUUUUAUACAACUCAGUCAAACAAAACCUUAUUCAACGUUUUCUCGAUAGAAGUAUAUAUAGCACAUUGAGGUCAUAUUCAUCUCAAACCAUAAUAAAGUUUUAAGCAAAAGAGAAGUGCUAUAUGUCCCGAUAAGAGAUAAAGUUUUAAGCAUGCACUUUGACGGAAUACAAGGGUAGGUGGGCAAUAAAAUAGCUUCGUGAGACAAUCGGGAUGUAUGGUCUCACGAUAUUAAGCAAUUUCCAAUUCAAAAAUGAAGUUCUCAUUUUACAACAGAGUUUCAAUCAACCCUCUUCUUAGUUAAUGCAUUUCGAUUUUUAUUUUAAAAUUAUUUAUUGUAGUCUUGAAUUGAUUUUUUAUUUUUUUUUCUUCAGAUUUUACAUCAACAAAAUCUCACGGCGUUGGCUUCCUCCUCACUAGCUGAAAAGAAGAAGGUUAUGUUCAUAACGGGUGCAACUAACACUGGAAAAACUAUACUUUUCAUCUACUUAGGUACUAAUUUCUUCUAUGAAAUCUUCAAUUUUAAUAAAAUUCAAAUUUAUUAAGAUCUUGACUUAACACCAGCUUGGUACCACAAUUUGAAUGUUGUUCGAUUUCACAUCACAUGUUAUUAUGCAUCAUCAAUGAUCCAAAUAUGAUUUCCCUGUUAAUGAUUUUUGCAAACACAUGUCUGAAGCUCUAUAUUUAUAGCUGAAAAUGGACACCUAACCAUUAUUGUAGGAGGGUAAUGUUCUUACAUUGAAAUAUUAGUUGAUGACCCAAUCAUUGAACUUUGUUCAAAAUGUUAUUGUUGUUACAUUGAAAUAUUAUUGUUGUUUCAAAAAUCAAUCACAAUGAAAUCAUAUUCAGAAUUAUUGGUGACGUCUAAUAUGUGAUGUGGAAUUGAACAAUGUUCAUCCUCUGAUACCUUAUUGGUGAAAGGUCAAGACCCUUAUAAACUUGAAUUUUAUCAGAGUGGAUGAUUUCAUAGAGGAAUUAAGUACCUAAGUAGAUGGAAAAUUUAUUUUUUCCAGUUCCAGUUGCUUUCUUUAUGAACAAAACCUUGUUUUUUUGGCUAGUAUAUUGAGGAAAAAAAGCCAAGAAAUAUAUAUAUAUAUAUAUAUAUAUAUUUUUAAUGUAUAGCCUAUGGAAAAUACAAUAAUACAAAUAAGACUUGGAGACCCUUUUUGCCCCCUAACUUUGCACUAGUUGCGAUCUUGGCUCCCUAUAAAAAAAAAAAAACACAUUUCAGCCCCCUAACUUUUCCCUUUUUGCAACUUUCAAUUUUGAUCAUUCAAACCCAACCAUUCAUGACAGUAAAAACAAGUGGGUGUUUUUGUUUAGCAAGUUUCAAAUUUAUAGGGCAAAGAAUACGACUUGAGACUUGUUUUUUGACUUUCUACCGUCUUGAAUGUUUGAUUUUGAAUGAUCAAAAUUAAAAAUUGUAAAAGGGGAAAACCUAAAGGAUUGGAAUGUGUUUUUUCUUAAUAAGGAGACAAAAUCGCAACUAGUGCAAAGUUAGGGAGGCAAAAGCGCAUUUAAGCGUAAAAAUAAUUAAAAACCACAACAAAUGAUUUUGAACUAGAAUCGAAAUUGAUUAAUCUUAUACAUGUUGUCAAUAAGGAUACUAUGUAUAUGAAGAAGAGAAUCAAUUGAAACUUUAUUUGUGCUAUACAUAAUGAUAAAUGAUAUAUGGAGAGAAGGACCGCUAAACAGGCGAGUUUAGAAUCAAUUUAGCAGGAGGUUCAUGGAGGGCGGGUCUAUCGUUGUAGGCGUGGUAGGGAUUGUAUCCUACAAAUAUUUUGUUUUUAAUUUUAUGUUUGAAAAUGGUGUUGUUUCUUAUCUUUUUCAUUACAAUAUUUUAUUUAUUUAUUCACGAGUGCAUGUUUAUAUCAAAGGAUUAUAUAAUUUGUAUGUAUCAGAGUGAAAACAGACUAUUAUUGUUAUGAUACCUUUCAGAUUAUAUAAUUGUAACAGUUUUAUGACAUUUCAGAUUAUAUAAUCCGAAAUAUGCGUUUUUUUACAUCACAAUUGACCCUUUUGGAGUGUUUGACACUUUUCAGAUUAUAUAAGCCAAAUUAUUUUAAGGAGUUUCAAAUUAUAUAAUCUGAAACGUAUGUUUAACUGAGACCUACACAAACAUCUCUAAAAUGUUUUGUCUUCUAACAAUUUUUAUAUUGUUUGGAUUAUAUAAUCCUAAACGUUGGUCUGAUUAAUAAAAUUUGAACGAAAAGUAUUUUGAGAAGAAAAAAAAUAGGGUGCAAUAACCAAAUAGCGUGAGAAAAAUAAUGGCCUUAUUGAUCACCCCGUAAGGAGCCAAUGCCUGAAAAAAGUACCAUAGAUGAUUGAUAUUUGUGGAGGCAUUAAUAGUCACAAAACUACACGUGGCAAUUUCAUAUUGGUGGCUAAUGAUAAGGCUAGCACAAAAAUUUCCAUUCCUGUGUGGUUGAUAUGGCAGCAAAGUUUAUCAUAUUCACAAAAUGGUAUUAUGAAGCAUUACCACAAUUUAUAAGACCAUAAUAUUGGAAAUAGAAAAAUAAAAACAUUAUAUAAAGCAAGUUUGAGUAUAGGCUUUGCAAUUCAAGCAGAAGUAUAUCUUACUAGUGAACAAAGUAAGGGAGAAAAACAUGGCUUCCUCUAUGAUGUCCUCUUCAGCUGUGACUACAGUUAACCGUGCCUCUUCGGUACAAUCCGGUGCGGUGGCUCCAUUCGUCGGACUCAAGUCCAUGGCUGGCUUCCCAGUUACAAAGGUUAACAAAGACAUUACUUCCAUUACAAGCAAUGGUGGAAGAGUAAACUGCAUGCAGGUGAGAAAACAAUAUACCUUGCUUUGUAUCAACUUCUUAACUUGUUUGGAUUGAGUUAUUUUAGUUUAUCUAAUGACAUUGAACUUAUGAGACUACUUGAGAGAGCUUAUGAAAACAAUUUAUGCUCAUAAAAUAUUUUCAGCUUAUUUCCAUAUGACAUGUUACUCUUUAUUAUUCACUUAUACUACAAAAUUGAGAGAUCCUUGUUAUGAUCU